AUGGGUCGUACCAAUGUCAAUCCUAUUUGGGGUAAGAUUUGGAAAUUAUCGUGUCCGGCAAAGGUAAAAAUAUUUAUCUGGCGAAAGUUGCAUGGAACUCUACCGUGUCGUGUUACACUUGCUAAUAGACAUCUGAAAGUUUCGCCCCUUUGUCCAUCAUGCUCGAAUGGGCAAGAAGAUACAAAACACAUCUUGUUUCUGUAUGAGAAGGCAAAAGAGGUUUGGAAGCUGGGGAUGUACGAGGUAAUCAAGAAAGAUUGUGUUAUUGAUCGUGCGGGUGAGGCGGUUCUUGAAUCCUUACUUCUUAUGCCGCACCAAGAACUAUCUAUACUAAAGAAUACCAAUGCAACUGAAUUAAUCGUGAUAACCGCUUGGUAUUUAUGGUGGGAGAGACGCAUGUUGGUUCAUGAAGGGAAGUCUCAAGAUGUGAACCAGAUUUCGAUGGGGGUUCGUGCUAUAACGACAAAUUAUGUGAAUGCCCACUCCCCUAGUGCGACUAGUAGAAAAGAAGGAUGGAGCUGA
rnacentral:rRNA from 1 species